UUAAUACUCCUUUCAAAAAUUACACUUUGACCCCAGUUUUAAAAUUAAUCACAGGCCCUUUAAUUUUUAAAAUUGCGUGGAGGUCCUUAUUUUGAAAAUUACAACAUAACCCCAAUUUCUAAUUGGGGAUAGGGGCUUAAAACUAGACCAUUUGCAACAGGAGCCCCCAUCACCAAAACACCCAUAUGUCCACUGAAAACCCUAGGACCAUGGAAGAAUUUUGGGGCGGCGACGGUGGUAUCCGGCCACUCUCCUUCCUUCUCGCCGCCAGCCGCCUUAACCGGUCGAACAAAACACACCACACCAUGACUAGUUUCAACCAAUACCUUCAACCCAUUUACUAAUAUUUUCCCUUCCUCCUUCAACGACAUCAAUUCUCACUUUCUCAACAAGAAAAAUAUGUAAACAUGGAACAAUUAGCAACUAAGCAUAUUAUACAACACACAAAAUCAAUUCACAAAAUUAUAUGAAAUUAACAAGCAGUUGGAGAAAUGGCGAUUUGGGGCCCGAAUCAGAUCCGAAACUUCCUGUGCCAGCGGUAACUGGAAAAGUCCAGAAAACUGCCACUUAUGUAGGAACUUAUCAGCUUUGAUUACGAAUAAGCAUGAAGAUGGGGCAGACGGUAUAGAGAAUUUCUCUCAAUCAUGAAUCCAUUCUAAGAGUCCAAUGGAAUGCUUUUCUCCAGUAAAGAGUAAUAAAAGAAAUAAGAUGUACAUUAGGAUGGUGGUUAGAAAGAAACAGUGGACGAAAU
rnacentral:lncRNA from 1 species